AGUGACCAUCUAGCAAUGGUACCCGACAUCUGGAUAGGUCGAAUAGUCAUAAUCGCAACACUCAGAACCUACAUGAAUAUGGUUACUGUAUAAUUCAUCCUUUUGACCCUUGUGUCUAGGACAACUCAGGGUUAAACUAUCAACCCGGAUCAGAUCAUCCGAAUCGUGCUCAACUCAAACGGUCCUGUGACUCCUCACAAGGACUAACCUGGCCAAGGUUUUGCUAAAUUGAAAUACGACUGUACACAGCUCCUAAACUGGAGUGGUCAAUCCCAUCUUGACACAUGCACCAACAAGUCAAGUACUUGACUACACCCAGCAGCCUUCCAUCACUGAAUUAAAAAUUCAGGUAGUCUAGUGCUUAAGUACAGUGAGUUGCUUGCAAGUCACCGUGGCGGUCUCAGUUCGGAGGGAUAUUUAUACCCAUAUUCCAUCGGAGCAAAUCUUGACAGCAGAAAUAGCUCUGGAGUCAGUCACGUUCAGUGCAGAUGUACCCUUACAUCUCAUCUGUAUGCCAUACCAGUGUCUCCACACUCAUUGGUUAAGAGGACAACCAACCUAUAUGGCACACAAUGACCUAUGCUUGAUAAACGUUGUCGUCCUUAGUAACAACGUAUCAUUUGAUCGCGAACAGAUUUAAGGACUAAACGACAAAUCCUCCUUUGUCGAGUCUAAAUAGUCCUAAGGACUUCAUCACAACAUAGGAGUUCAUUAGAAGAUGAAACAUUUUGUGAUGAAAAAUACCAAAAUAAUUUUUAUUAAUUCAUAAUUCAUGUACAAAUACAAAAAUGAGCACAACCGUC
rnacentral:lncRNA from 1 species